AAGGUGAUAUCCGGGAACACGGCCGCUCCAGCGAUCAUGAUCGGCGAGAGGGCGGCAGCUUUCGUCAAGUCCGAGUGGGGUGGUGCGCCGUCAAAAUGUAGUUCUUCCCAUCCCACCGUCGACAACUCGUUGGAUCUGUUGCUUUGGGGGAUCAAAUACAUCGACUGGGACCAGGGUGACUGGUAGUCAAGAUCCAUCUUCUAGUCCAUGAUCCAACAACCCUUACCAGAGUAGAGGAUAUUCGCCACGGUUUUGUCUCGUGUUUUGGGAGAGCCUACUCGAUUAUUAUCCUCUGUGUAUCAACGUCGAAACCAAGAAAUGUAAAUCGCCACUAUUAAUAUGCGGAUCAAUAAAUUGAAUUAUUAUCCAUCCAA